AAAGUCGACCAGACAGUCGCCGCGUGCUUGCACGGGGAGGAAAGUCCGGGCUCCGCAGGGCAGGAUGCCGGUUAACGACCGGGCGCCGUGAGGCGACGGAAAGUGGAACAGAGAGCUGAACCGCCGAUGGCCGGGAGUCUCACCGCAAGGUGCGGCUCCGCCGCGACAGGCCAGGAUACGCGCCCUUCAGGGCGUACGUCCUGCACCAGCGCUGGCUUGCCAGCACGCUGUCGCACGGCACAGGCAAGGGUGAAAAGGUGCGGUAAGAGCGCACCGCGGACGUGGCAACACGGACGGCAGGCUAAACCCCAUCCGGAGCAAGACCAAAUAGGGGUACAUUGGCGUGGCCCGCGCUGUACCCGGGUAGGUUGCUUGAGCCUGUCGGCAACGGCAGGCCUAGAGGAAUGACUGUCCAACGACAGAACCCGGCUUAUCGGUCGACUUUCCAC
rnacentral:RNase_P_RNA from 1 species